rnacentral:rRNA from 1 species
AUGGAGGAGGCGAGAGGGAAGGAGACGACGGAGGGGGUGGCCGCCGAUGUGAGCCUGAAGGAUCUGUCCAGGAGGCUCGAAGACUUCGCAAAGGAGAGGGACUGGGAGAAGCACCACAGCCCAAGGAACCUUCUGCUCGCCAUGGUCGGCGAGGUCGGGGAGCUGUCGGAGCUGUUCAUGUGGAAAGGCGAGGUGCAGAAGGGCUUGCCUGGCUGGGAGGAGAGGGAGAAGGAGCACCUCGGCGAGGAGCUCUCCGACGUGCUGCUCUACCUGAUCCGUCUCUCCGACAUGUGCGGCGUCGACCUCGGUGACGCGGCCCUGAAGAAGAUCGUGAAGAACGCCGUCAAGUACCCGGCGCCGUCAAAGAGCGCCUGA